UGGGGAAUAUUGGACAAUGGGCGAAAGCCUGAUCCAGCCAUGCCGCGUGUGUGAAGAAGGUCUUCGGAUUGUAAAGCACUCUAAGUUGGGAGGAAGAGCAGUUACCUAAUACGUGAUUGUUUUGACGUUACCGACAGAAUAAGCACCGCCUAAUUCUGUGCCAGCAGCCGCGGUAAUACAGAGGGUGCAAGCGUUAAUCGGAAUUACUGGGCGUAAAGCGCGCGCAGGUGGUUAGUUAAGUUGGAUGUGAAAUCCCCGGGCUCAACUGUGGGACUGCAGUCAAGACUGGCUGACUAGAGUAUGGUAGAGGGUGGUGGAAUUUCCUGUGUAGCGGUGAAAUGCGUAGAUAUAAGAAGGAACACCAGUGGCGAAGGCGACCACCUGGACCGAUACUGACACUGAGGUGCGAAAGCGUGGGGAGCAAACA
rnacentral:rRNA from 1 species